GCAGAAAAUAAAUCAAGCAGUUAAUCUCUCCCAUUUAGUCAACCAAUCUAAAUUCUGGAUAUUUUGGUGUGAGGACCCCUAAAAGGCAAGCUACAGGACUCCAAAUUGAGCAAGAUUAGAUCCUACAGAAUUUUGAGAGAAGCAAGAAAGGAACAUAAUUUACAAAAUUAAAUUUGGAUUCCAGAUGAGGUGGCUACAGU
rnacentral:lncRNA from 1 species